rnacentral:rRNA from 1 species
GACGAACCGUGCAAACGUUGUUCGGAAUCACUGGGCUUAAAGGGCGCGUAGGCGGCUUGUCAAGUCAGGGGUGAAAUCUUUCGGCUUAACCGGAAAAAGUGCCUUUGAUACUGACAGGCUCGAGGGAGGUAGGGGUAUGUGGAACUUCUGGUGGAGCGGUGAAAUGCGUUGAUAUCAGAAGGAACGCCGGUGGCGAAAGCGACGUACUGGACCUCUUCUGACGCUGAGGCGCGAAAGCUAGGGGAGCAAACGGG